AGAGAGAGACAUGCGCGCAUAUCAAUAAGCGGAGGAAAAGAAACUAACAAGGAUUCCCCUAGUAACGGCGAGUGAAGCGGGAAGAGCUCAAAUUUGAAAUCUUAAAGGGUUUCCCUUUACGAAUUGUAGUUUAAAGAAGUGUUUUCUGUUGAGGUUUUGGUAAAAGUUCUUUGGAAUAGGACAUCAUAGAGGGUGAGAAUCCCGUAUUUGACCUUUACUUUCAACUUUGUGAUACACUUUCAAAGAGUCGGAUUGUUUGGGAAUGCAGUCCAAAAUGGGUGGUAAAUUUCAUCUAAAGCUAAAUAUUGGCGGAGACCGAUAGCGAACAAGUACCGUGAGGGAAAGAUGAAAAGAACUUUGAAAAGAGAGUUAAACAGUACGUGAAAUUGUCAAAAGGGAAGCGUUUGACACCAGUGUUGUUUUUCUGAAAAUCAAUUAAAGAACUGUUUAUGCUAAGUUGUUUAGACUUUAUCAGCUAAUCUGUUUAGUUUUGAGCUUUUCUUUAAUGCACUUUUCAGUUAACAAGUCAACAUCAAUUUCUUUUGCUGUAAAAAAGCUUGAGGAAGGUGGCUUGAGAUUCGUCUUAAGUGUUUAUAGCCUCUUGCCUAUGCAGUCGGAGAGAUUGAGGUCUGCAGCGUAGAUCCUUCGGGGCUAAAUGCAUUUGUGCUAAGUUAUAGCAUUUUAUAGACAACUUGUUGACUAUGAUUUGUCUUGUAGCUUACUCGCUUAUGUUAUUUUACCUACGCUUAGGAUGUUGACGCAUGAGAUAUACGC
rnacentral:rRNA from 1 species